GACGAACGCUGGCGGCGUGCUUAACACAUGCAAGUCGAACGGAAAGGCCCUGCUUUUGUGGGGUGCUCGAGUUGCGAACGGGUGAGUAACACUUGAGUAACCUGCCCUUGACUUUGGGAUAACUUCAGGAAACUUGGGCUAAUACCGGCUAGGAGCUCCUGCUGCUUGGUGGGGGUUGGAAAGUUUCGGCGGUUGGGGAUGGACUCGCGGCUUAUCAGCUUGUUGGUGGGGUAGUGGCUUACCAAGGCUAUGACGGGUAGCCGGCCUGAGAGGGUGAGCGGCCACACUGGGACGGAGAUAAGGCACAGACUACUACGGGAGGCAGCGGCGGGGAAUAUUGCACAAUGGGCGGAAGCCUGAUGCAGCAAAGCCGCGUGCGGGAUGACGGGCUUCGGGUUGUAAACCGCUUUCGCCUGUGACGAAGCGUGAGUGACGGUAAUGGGUAAAGAAGCACCGGCUAACUACGUG
rnacentral:rRNA from 1 species